UCCUGCACAGAAGCAAUCAUUUAAGGAAGAGGAAAUUAAGCCACAGAUUGCUGUGUCCAAAUCUACAGUCUAUAUAAAGAAAUAACACUUACUGUUUGGAAAAGAAAAGAAUCUCGAAGAGCAGGACUGAUCUGCUCCAACAUCCCACAACGCUAAGAAAUGUUAUGCAUUGCAUUUAUCAAGUCCCAAAAAAGUCCGGCCAAAACUGUAGCUGGGCCUGACACGGGGCCCUGAAGAUGGAGAGACUGCUGCUCCCAAGAAAGGACAGCAGCUCAGACUCCAACCCAGAAGAGAGAGCAGCAACUGGGGAGAAAGGAGCAGCUGCUGACCCACCCAUCAUCAAAUGCAGAGCGCCACAAAAGCUUUGCUCAUCACAAUGCUGGUGGAGACAAACAGAGGAUAUCCUGUCCAAGGAGA